GCUUCUGCUUGUGUUGAUACUUUUACCUCCACCAGAGGGAGACAUCAUCAAGUAGUUCAUACUCCACAUCAACACUGAGUUCAUCCAUUGGCUCAUUCUGAACUGCUGCUGAGAAGAGAAGUACUGUCACACUGACAGACUGACAAACUUCAGCUAGUUCCUCCUGUUGAUUGAAUCCUUGUUGUAGAGAUGGAGCGUUGGCUGUGGAUCAUUCUGGCUGCUCUUUUCUUUGGGUGUAAAGGAGAAGACACAGUGACCCAGCCAGCAGAGGAUGUUGUUGCUUCUGAAGGAGAUCCAGUCACACUUGGCUGUACAUUUGAGACCACUAGAACGAAUCCCUAUUUGUUCUGGUACAAACAAGAAGUUGGUGAUUUCCCAAAGUACAUGCUGAAACUUUACGCAGGUACAACAGAAUUUGCUCCUGAGUUCGACAAAGACAGAUUUAAUGCUGCAAUCAAGGAGAAAUCAGUUCCUCUGAAGAUCCAGAAGCUUCAGCUGACUGACUCUGCUGUGUACUACUGUGCUCUGAGGCCCACAGUGACAGGAAACACCAACACUCUGUACAAAAACCUUUGGAGCAAACACAACACAAUACUCCACAACAUCCACUAGAGGGCGUCUCUCUCUGUUAAAGAAACUCCACUGAGGCCAACAACUAGAAAGCAGAGCAGCAGUAUGAUGUGUGUACUACAGAGCUAUGUUCUAGGUCCUCUUAGUUUUAUCUCCAUGUUAUUGAUUGUUGAUUUUUAGGCUCUUAUUAAAAUCAGUUCAAUAUUAAACUGGUAAACAACAUUUGAAGUGCUGCUGUUACAGACCUUCACACAGUUCAAAGACAGCCUGCUCUCAGUCCUUUGUCCACACUGUUGGACUCAAAUGUUCAUCUCCACCAGAGGGAGACAUUAUCAGGAAGGUGGUGCACUACGUCUGUACCAUCAAAGACUCUGUUAAUAAAACCUGCUGCUGAGAACACAACACUUCUCACAGUGAAUGUUGAACAUCAGCUAGCUCCUCCUGUUGAUUUCAACCUUGUUGUAGAGAUGGAACGUUGUCUCUGGAUGAUUCUGGCUGCUCUUUUCUUUGGUAAGAUAGAAAGGACACGCUUUAU